UAUACAAAAUUAACAGAAAAAAGAACUUUAAUGGGCUGUUAUGUCCUGUACUCGGUUGUUUGUGUUUUCUUAGCACAAAAUGUAUCAAACAAAGCCUCUGGCGCUGACCCCACUGAAGGAAGAUCCAAAAAAGAGUGGAUGCUGAUGUAC